rnacentral:rRNA from 1 species
GACGAACGCUGGCGGCGUGCUUAACACCUGCAAGUCGAACGAUGAAGCCGGAGCUUGCUCUGGUGAAUUAGUGGCGAACGGGUGAGUAACACGUGAGUAACCUGCCCUUGACUCUGGGAUAACUGCGGGAAACUGUAGCUAAUACCGGAUACGACCCUCGGAGGCAUCUCCUGGGGGAGGAAAGAAUUUCGGUCAAGGAUGGACUCGCGGCCUAUCAGCUAGUUGGUGAGGUAAAGGCUCACCAAGGCGACGACGGGUAGCCGGCCUGAGAGGGUGACCGGCCACACUGGGACUGAGACACGGCCCAGACUCCUACGGGAGGCAGCAGUGGGGAAUAUUGCACAAUGGGCGCAAGCCUGAUGCAGCAACGCCGCGUGAGGGAUGACGGCCUUCGGGUUGUAAACCUCUUUUAGCAGGGAAGAAGCGAAAGUGACGGUACCUGCAGAAAAAGCACCGGCUAACUACGUGCCAGCAGCCGCAGUAA